rnacentral:sRNA from 1 species
GCUGGGUGUGGUGGCUCACACCUGUAAUCCCAGCACUUUGGGAGGCUGAGGCAGGUGGAUCACCUGAGGUCAGGAGUUUGAGACCAGCCUGACCAACAUGGUGAAACCCUGUCUCUA